CUCUGAGGGCACUAAUAGUCCUUAAUGGCCCCAAUCAGGCUCACCUGGCUCUACCCUGCAUCCUUUGCCCAUGGGCCCAGGAGCUGCAUUUUGGCCUCUGUUGUUGUGCUGGAAGUCAUUUAUUGCUUCUGGUCCAGGACACAGGGUGAUCGCUUGCAGCGAUGAGGAAGGAACCAACUGCAACUGAAGAGAGUGUAGGAGCAAGAGAGGAAAAUAUCACUAGGAUUGGACCUGUAACCUCCAUUGUUGCUGUCCCCUUUCACACAGCACUCCUAAUUGCCUGUCGUUCACUGCUUGUUUGGUGUGCUUUCAUGGGGUAAAUUAGAUUUAGGGCUACUAAUGCUAUAUCAGAGUGCCACAGAAAUACUGCCUGAGUAUGAGGGCUACACAGCUGGUUAAGAUCUCUUCUAAAAUUUGUGAUGUUCUAAUUCUGUGAAGGUAGGAGUUAUGCCAAGUAUUGUCUCUACCCACAUUGCCCCUAAAAGACCGUCACAAAAGCCUUUAGUCUAAUUAAGCUCUAGAUUAUGUGCUUUCAGAAUCUGUCAGUGGUAAGUUCAUAUAUAUGUACCCUUUGUCCAAAUCCCACUUGCACUGUUGGUGAUGUAGAAACACAGGGUUCCACUGUUAAUGAUCAUAAGCCUGUAGACAGAGAGGAACCAACUAAUGGAUUGCUAAAUGCACAUCCUAGCUUGAUUUAAGGAGGUGUCUUGGGUUUAAAAAAUUAAGGUGAAAUUAAAUAGCCUAUUAUUAGCCUAUAUAAGAAAUCUGUGCAAGGCUGAAGACAACAGAAUGUAUUAUCAUCCAAAGCAGAGGUAAAGACGUACUGAUAUCUUUAUUAUGUAUUUAAUAAAAAAAUCCUGUAUCUAGAUUCAAUUGCAA